GGCUGACAGGUUGUGAUUGGGAUGGAUGUGGCUGCUUCUGAGUUUUAUGGUAAAGACAAGACUUAUGAUCUAAACUUCAAAGAAGAGAAUAAUGAUGGCUCACAAAAGAUAUCAGGUUAUGACUGAAGGCUCUCAUUUCAUUGGAAAGUUUGGAAGCUACUGCAAGUUCUUUCUACUUGCUAGGGAUGAGAAUAUUUUAGUUUGUGCACAAGAGAAUCUUUUAAGUUUGUGCACAUGAGAAUCUUUCAAGUUUGUAUUUGUUAGGGAUUUGUUAUGUUAGUACUUGUUACUGACUUUUAGUUCAACAAAUUAUAUUUGAGUAUUGACUUUUGCUUUUAGAUUACUAUAUGCAUUCUGUUCUUUGGGAUAA